UAAUGCCUCCUCAGAGCCAAUUACCCUGCAGCAAACACUGCUGUCAGGUUAGCUGAACGUGGGUGUUCCCAGCGCCAGUCGGCAUCGGAUUCCAGCCCUCCCCAGGGACCGGAGCUCCUAGGGUGGGUAUGGAAAUGCUUGGCUCCUUCCUCUCCCUUCCGAGCUGUGAAAGAAACCUCUCAGUUUCUGUCACAUCUGACUGCCUCAUGCAUCCCAAGAACAGCCUGCGCAUUGACAAGGGAGGCAGGCAUACCGACAGCAGAGCAGCAUUAGCUACCAACCUUGCCGAAAAAAAAUAAGCCAAGGACAGAAUCCCUGGCUAAAUAUAGAGCUGAACUGCGAGUGAAAACAAUGUGGCAAUGCAGCUCCGUCAAAAUUAAGAAUGAAAAUGUUGAGCCGCUGCUGCUUCAUGACCCCAGGCUGCUCACAGCGAGCAGCGUAUGCCCGAAGGUCCAGCCUGCCGCCGGUACCUAGUGCGGAAUGGCACAGUAGGGAGAACGCUGCUUUUAUUAGCACUUGGCUAUCGGUCCACGCUCCACAAAUAAACAAAUGGGCUGGGUGCAUGUCAUCCCAGUUCACGUGUUACAGAAAUAACACUGGACUGGAACCAGAGUUAACACAGCUGAGAUUCAGGAUGCAGCUGACUUUGAGGGAGGGAGGAUGGCAGAGCCUAAGUUAGGCUAUACCUGCCAUUGGAGGCAAACCUGAUUUACAGCUCAAUCCAUCUUCUACACUCUAAUUUCCCUGCUUUAGUAGGUCACUCUCCUACUUCACUUCACAAGGUACUUCUUUUGGAACAAAUAGACUAGGGAAGAGUCAUGGGUUUGGUGUAUAUUAGAUGGACUGAUUCAGUCACCUUUCCAAGACAAAAAAUAUUGUAUAAAUAGUAUGAUAAAGAGAGAACGUACCUUGAGGAUUUUGUGUGAAGGUUAUUGAUAGGGGACCCGAGGACCAUGUAGCAAUACUGUGGCAAUAUGACCAUUGCAAUGCCGUAGGUGCCGGUACCUCCUUUGGGACUGGCUAUGGCUUCAUGCCCUCACUUGUGGGUUGGGUGGAUUGGGUUGGGUUUUUUCCUCCUCUGUCCUGACCUUUAAACAGAGGUCAGGCACCAUUAAGAGCCCAGUUCCUCAGUGAUGGAGCCUCUGCCACUGCCUUGCAACAGCUGCUGCGAUGAUGCAGAGGGUGCCUUACUCGAGCUGUUGUUGUCUUCCCACUUACUUUCCUUAAGUCCUACAGGAAAUCGCUUUAACCAAAACCACAUUGCAUAUGCAUUAUACAAUAAUAGGCUGUUGUUACUGUCAAUGGUGAGUUUUCAGACUUCAGCCCUAGCCCAAUGCACAUGUGUCCUUGUGACAGAAGAGCCAGCAGCCCACCCAGCUGAGCAGGGACCAGGGGAAGGAACUGAGGUUUAUCACCACUCGUGAUGAUCAGGCGCCCGGUUCAUCCCGGAGAGCCCUGGACCGGGUGGCUGUCACCACAGGGCUCUGAGUUGUUCCAAGUCAAUAUACUCACAGCCUGGAUCAAAGAGCCCAGGGGCUGGAUAGAGCUCCCUGCUGCCUAUGUACACCAUGAGACACCUGUGUUGUGUAGGAAAUGCUUGUCCGUAGGGAAUCGCCAUCCCCACACCCUCCUGGCCUGAACGCAGCACAGAACUGCAGGAGCCGCAGCUGGUGGCACGCUGCGACACAGCACGUGCUCAGGUGAUCCUUUACUCCAGGUUUCUGCAGGAGGGGAGGUGUAAAGCAGCUGUGCCGUGACAGCUCCGGGCUGGCCGGGCAGGUUCCUUGAACUGCUGUGCAGCCUUUUGAGGUGAACAGUCGUUACCCUGUGAUUAAAGUCUGCAUGAUGUCAUAGAUGUAUAAAGAUAUCCAUAGCCAUAAGAUUGUGCAACUAGCUUGUAAUGUGCAUGUUAAUAAGGCUAUUAAGGUUUACAAAUAUUCUGCUCUUCCUUACAGUUUAUAAUUUAAUUAAUUGCCAGUUAAUUGUCUUAUUUUCCCCCUGUGAUUGAUGUCAGUGAGUGGGAUUAGGCAGCAUCAGAUGACAGAAGAAGGAGGAAUGAAUGCAGCAUCCUAUGAUGGUAUGAGAAGAGAUGUUUUUAUGGACAAAUCCUUUCUGACAUGGAUGAAUACCUCAAUGAGAUAUCACAGAGUAUCAGCUCAAUACAUAUUGUAAUGGGAUCAUUAGUGGAGGUACCAGCUGUGUGAGGUUUGUAUUCACAAGCCACGAGUAACAGGGAAAUAUUGGCUCCUUGGAAAUGUUUGCCAAGCAUAAAUCUUUCCCUUUUUACAGAGCUGGUACUCAGUUUACAUAAAAUGGGAAAAUACUCUCUAAGGCCCGUGGGACUGCUCCAGCUAUCCCUGAAGUCAGUCACAGCAGGAGAGCCUUUGGUGGAGGGAGGGAACCUAAACGCAGCCCUAUUCGGCAGUAUUUUUCCAUGGGGAAGAAGUAAGAGGAGGGUCUUUUCAUCAGCGCAUGUGAGCCGGGCAGUGGCUCCAUCCCUGAAACAAGAGGCAUCUCUAUCUCUAAGCAGGGAAGGUGGGGUGGCUGAGCAGACACUGCAUCUUCUCUCCCAAAGGCAGGAUUCUGAGCCUCUCGCCAGGCUCGCUUGCACCCUGCCCACCCACAAAUGCAUGUCUGGUGGGUCCGGACGUGCCUGGAACAUCUCUCCUUCAGGUCCCGCUGUGCAUGUGGAUUGGGGAGCUUGUCACCACGUCUCAGCCAAGCAGGUCACUAAGCCUCAAGGUGGCUCCUGACCUGCACUCUGUGGAGUAUGAACCUGGGAGAUGCUGCAGAAGCAGAAUGAACCUGGAGCAGUUCCAGUGGCUUUGGUGUGACCGGGAUCAGUCAGUGCAAGAGGGCUGAACAGCACAUAACCUGCAUGUUCCCAUCUGGGUGGGUGUGCAACGUGUGUGAACCCCUGCAUAAAUCAGCACAAACUAACUAGGUUAUUUCUGAGGCUGUAAUUGGAACAAAGAGUCAGCCAAACCGCAUCUGUCUCUUUUAAUUCAUUCCUUCCAUUUGGGGGACUUAGCCUUUAGAAACAGCUAUCGGUGAUUACAUAAAAGAGAUUAGCUAACAUUUCUGCAUAAAUCAAGGCCAGCUCAAGAUGUUUCCUACAUGCGUUGCGAAACCCAGGGCUCGUGGAGGACAAGUUCCUCCUGAGGGAGAGAGGCUCCCCAUGCCCCGCACGGCAGGCGGUGCCGGUGCUUGGUGGGGCCAAGGACGGGACCUUCCUGCUCCUCAAAACAGCCUUUCGGGAGAAAAAAAACUCUCCAAGAAAACAUGUGCAUGGUGGGGAAUGGUCUGCCCCGGGUUUGUCUGGUGUGGGUUUUUUCCACAAGAGCAGAUUUUCUAGCCAAGAUACAUGAUGGAAACAAUGAAAGAAAGGAAGGGGAAGGGGAGCCUUGUUGUAAACCAGAUUUCCAUGUGUGAAUGCAAAUCAAUCUUGCUGCUAAAGGAAGAGCCAAAGCAGAACAUGUUACAUUUACUCUUUUAGCGCAGUUGCUAACAAAAUACCUUGAUGCGAAUGCUGCUGGAUGACUCAACAAAUCUUUUUGUUUCUUUUUUUUUUUUCAUUUUGAGGCAAUUUCUUCAUUUUCCCUCUCUUUGCUGCUCUGUUACCAUGAAGGGUGAGGUUGUCCCAGGGUCAGGGAGUUGGAAUUUCCCUUCCAGUGUUGUUUUAACUACUCCUCUCCUUUUUUUCUUUCUUUUUUUUGCAGCAGGUCAGAGCGGAUCUAUAAGGAGGCUGGGGGGAGGCUCAACCCUUCUCUCCCAUUCGAUCUGCCCUGGAUGGUUCCAGUCCCCUGACAGUGAGCACCUGACUCGACGCAGUCCUUCCACGCCAUCAUCAAUACGUCCACAUCUCAGCUUCCCUAAUGAGCUUUUAAGCAAAAAAUACCAAAAGCAGUUGCAAGUUUUUGAUUCCUUCAUUUUUGAGGAACUGAACUUGAGGCACUGCAGCUGAGUUUCAACACUGCCCAGCACCAGUAGCUCCCAUUAGCUGCCGAGUACUCAUCGCUUCUUGAAAUCAGGCCUAGAGAAUCUCUUCAUGGUGUUUAUUGCUUAGAGUAGAGUUUUGCUCCCAAUCUGAGCAAGACCUGGGAGAAACCAAAGGGAGAUUUCAGGUGGGAAACUGAAACAAAGUGCAGUUUAAGGUCUGCCAUUUACAUGUACGUUGGCUCCUCAUUACGAAACCAGCUACCCAAAGGCAUUUAGUAAUAUCUUUUAAAAAGCACAAAGGUACUCAUUUCCUAUUGAAACAUGCAGGAAAUACAUGCCCAGGAAUAGAGCUGAAAAUGAAGCUGGUUAUCUGUCUUCAUCCUUUGAUCUCUGUCAUCUUUCAGAAGCUGGCCUCCAAGUGAUAUGCCCAAGGAUGGAUGAAAUCGAGUGCUGAAUCUUUAUCUCUUCCACUUGUGCGUCUGUGCUGCCAUUCACGACGCAGACAUAUUCCUCCUCGGGACUAGUCUAAUGGCAAUCAACAAGACUCAUCCCAGAAAUUAGGCUACCGGACAGGCAUUCACAAUGCCCUGCAGAGAUGCCGCCCCAUUUCCUCCCAUCCAGGUUGCAGCUGCAUCUGGCCCUCACUUCUGCCCAGACAUGUGAUGGAUUUAAAGACCCAUCCCAGUCCUUGACCUCCACUGAGGACCGCAGAGCUAGUCACUUCUGAAAUAACACCCAUAGAGAAGCUGAGACCUUUUCAUGCUAGAAAUACCACAGGGAGGAGAGUGCCUGUAGACACCAACCGCCUCUGUAGUGAAAGGAAAUCUGAAGUUUCCCCUCUGCUUUUUCGUGCAUAACAGCAUCUGUAUGCCUCAUUUCCAUCUUCACAGCUCCUGUAAUUUACAUACUGAACAUUUGCAAAGCCUGAGAUCCGGGUUCACUUUGUAUCACAUCCGAUGACCUUCAGUGUAUCAUCAGAAAAGUUUCCAAGGCAAUUUUCCCAAAGUGUAUGAAUGCGAAACAUAAGACCAUCAGGAAAGGAGAAAAGGGAAAUAAAAUCGGAUUUCUGAGAUAUCCAUCAUUCAAAGAUAUAUUUUCUCUUCUACGGCAGGACAAAAAUAUUUGAGCUUAAAAAAAAAGGAGUUUUGGCUUUAACAACUUGUUUCUUUACAGCAAGUGUUGGUAUAAGGUCCCUCAAUAAAGUAACUUUAAUUAGGUUUGCCUUCCUAGAUCUGCAGAAAGAAUAUUUCCAUAAUAAAAUGCAUUUGAAGAAAUGUUAAGUAGGGGAAAAAAAAUAAUCAGAGAGCCAGGUUUAUUUGCAUUCCUUCCUAAGCAAUGGCUGUACACCAAGUUUAUCCAUUUUGGUCCUGCGAUCCGGUAAUGAAUCAGAAAAAAGUCUGGUGGUAAAUAAUUGGCAAUCUAGGCAGAGAUUUGUGACAGGAGGAAUCCUGACCUCAGGGGAUAGGAGCAGGACAGCAGGGUGAGAACAAGCAGCUGAAGCUACUUCUCCCUUCUCUGGAGGUGUCAGGUGCAGCUCUGAUGGCUCCUCCUGAUAGUGCUGCAGCUAUCACAAGGUGAUAAACCAGCAACCGGCCUAUUUUUGCUUCUGCCGUCCAUCACCAAUGAGCUGUCCUUUUUAGCCCCCUUGCAAGUGCUAGCAGAAUUUGUCUGAUGGUGUCCUUGGAAGCUGCAUCUCCAACAUUAUAUUGAAGUUUAUAUUAUACUGAUGUGGGGUGGCAGGAGAGAAGCUUCUACAGGUGUCACCUGGCUUCUGGGUAAGCAUAGCUCAGGCCUCUCAUCUGAGGAGUGCCUGGGAAUUUCUCUUUUGCUGUUUGGGCUAUCACACUGGUUAUUGUUCACUGAAGCAAUGGAGGAUGCUUUGAAAGAGGAGAUGCUUUUUGUAACUGACUCGGGACUUCUGUUUGUGUGGAAAAGGAAUUGAAAGCUGAAAUGCAGAGACUUAUUCUGGUGGUUAAGGAAGGAGCUUGUGUCAGCUGUCAUAAGGCUCUUCAGAUAAAAUGGAUCUUAAACUGACCAUGAUAGGCAUGCUGAAAAUACAUAAAGUAGGCAAAUCUGACACCGUUCCCAUUGCUGUAGGCCAAGCAUAUAUGAAGAAUUGGUCUAUGAAAUAAGCUUGAGAAAGGAGGAAAGCUGUUUAGAUUCCUUUGUUCUUCUAAAAUGGUGCCCUGCAUGCCCUCCUUUCAGGGCCGUUGUGUAUAUUUAGUGCUGUCAGGUAAUUACAACGUGACUGGUAGUAGCUUGUAUCUUCCUGCUUCUUAUGAGUUGCGAGUGGCUUGUCCAUGUACCCUGUGUGGCUUGAUACUGUUACAGGGUCAAUGCAGGGGUGAAAACUGGGCUCCCGGUGAAUCCUCACCGCCUUGCUUCUUUCAGUGUGGUCUGGCUCUUGGACUCCGGUCGUUAUCUUUGCCUACAGAUAAUUGUAUAAUUUAAGUAUUUGGAAUAUAGGCUGCAUGUUGCAAAGCUUCUGCCUUGGGACCAAAAAGGUGGGGGGAGUGUUGGAGGGAGAAGAGGAGCAAUUCUGUCUAAGGGGCCCUCCGAGGGGCCUCCUGUCCUUGGUGGCUGCCAUGUCUGGCACAGCAAACGGGACCGCAAGAGAAGCGUGCGCAUCUGUCGGGGGAGGCAUUCACCAUAACGUUAUCUUGAGCUAAACAUGGGUUCUCUGCAGCUCUGCUGUCUGUUGUCCUAAAGUGACGUGAAUCUGCUGUAGUCAGAGUUCAGGGCUGCUGGACGCUCCCUUUGGACUGGGAGGGCUCACACCUUUAGCCUUCAAACCCCCCAGGGGGUGGUCACUGGAGGAGCGCAGUGCUGAAGUGAACAAAUGGUUAAUGUAGCUGUAUGGCAGCCAGGGAAGCCAUUCCUUGGGCUUUGGAAUGUUUCCUCCUUUCAUCCUGCCUUUUUUUUUUUUUUUUUUAGAUACCAUAUAGUGUUUAAUAAUUCAAUAUAUACAUAAUCCAAAAUAAACACACUAAUUAAC